rnacentral:rRNA from 1 species
GAUGAACGCUGGCGGCGUGCUUAACACAUGCAAGUCGAACGGUGAAGGCGGAGCUUGCUCUGCUGGAUCAGUGGCGAACGGGUGAGUAACACGUGAGCAAUCUGCCCCUGACUCUGGGAUAAGCGCUGGAAACGGCGUCUAAUACUGGAUACGAGCUGCGAAGGCAUCUUCAGCAGCUGGAAAGAAUUUCGGUCAGGGAUGAGCUCGCGGCCUAUCAGCUUGUUGGUGAGGUAAUGGCUCACCAAGGCGUCGACGGGUAGCCGGCCUGAGAGGGUGACCGGCCACACUGGGACUGAGACACGGCCCAGACUCCUACGGGAGGCAGCAGUGGGGAAUAUUGCACAAUGGGCGAAAGCCUGAUGCAGCAACGCCGCGUGCGGGAUGACGGCCUUCGGGUUGUAAACCUCUUUUAGCAGGGAAGAAGCGAAAGUGACGGUACCUGCAGAAAAAGCGCCGGCUAACUACGUG